CCAGCGAGCUCCGCUGCCCAGAGAGGCAGGAAACGGGGCCAGCCAGGGGGACUCGAGAGCGGCUGCACUUUCCUGUCCCCCGCCGAGGAGAGCGGAGGAGCAGCGGCCCGUGGCCUGGCGAGUUUCCCCGGAGAGGAGCCGGAUUCCGGUGCAGGGACGGAGCGAGGAGUCCGAGGGUGGCGUAAAAAUGGAAGAGCAGGGACCCAGGAGACCCAUUCAAAGGGAGAGACUGGAGUGCAAAGGAAAGAAACCUCCUACCGGCCAAGUUGGGACCAUCAGGGAUCUUCUGCCUCGGGCAGAUUUAUGUCAAAUUAAGCAGGAGGCAGAGGAGGGGCAGCCACAGCACCACUGGGAUGCCCAGAAGCAGGAUUUCCUGAAGACGAUGCAGCCCCCUCAUUCAGGGUGGGAAACCGCACAGGCUCCCAAUUUUCCCCACUCCAGGGAUGGUGUCCACUCCUUCAGGGGAGCUGCAGAUGCCAGUCGGUGGCCCAGUGGGAGAGCAGGGGGAACAGACCAGACCCUGCUCCCAGACACUGAGGGACUUCUUGGAAAGGAAGCUGCAACUUGCUCUGGCUUCUGCACUCCUCAGGAAGCUGAACCUGCAAACCUAGCUGAGACUGAACCUGCAACCCUGGCCAGGAUGGAAGGAGGAAGAUGGACGGUU